rnacentral:rRNA from 1 species
UGAACGCUGGCGGCAUGCCUUACGCAUGCAAGUCGAACGGCAGCACGGAGCUUGCUCUGGUGGCGAGUGGCGAACGGGUGAGCAAUAUAUCGGAACGUACCCAAGAGUGGGGGAUAACGUAGCGAAAGUUACGCUAAUACCGCAUACGAUCUAUGGAUGAAAGCAGGGGACCGCAAGGCCUUGUGCUCCUGGAGCGGCCGAUAUCUGAUUAGCUAGUUGGUGGGGUAAAGGCCCACCAAGGCAACGAUCAGUAGCUGGUCUGAGAGGACGACCAGCCACACUGGAACUGAGACACGGUCCAGACUCCUACGGGAGGCAGCAGUGGGGAAUUUUGGACAAUGGGGGCAACCCUGAUCCAGCAAUGCCGCGUGAGUGAAGAAGGCCCUCGGGUUGUAAAGCUCUUUUGUCAGGGAAGAAAAGGUUGCGGCUAAUAUCCGCGGCUCAUGUCGGUACCUGAAGAAUAAGCACCGGCUAACUACGUGCCAGCAGCCGCGGUAAUACGUAGGGUGCAAGCGUUAAUCGGAAUUACUGGGCGUAAAGCGUGCGCAGGCGGUUUUGUAAGACUGUCGUGAAAUCCCCGGGCUCAACCUGGGAAUGGCGAUGGUGACUGCAAGGCUAGAGUUUGGCAGAGGGGGGUAGAAUUCCGCGUGUAGCAGUGAAAUGCGUAGAUAUGUGGAGGAACACCGAUGGCGAAGGCAGCCCCCUGGGUCAAAACUGACGCUCAUGCACGAAAGCGUGGGGAGCAAACAGGAUUAGAUACCCUGGUAGUCCACGCCCUAAACGAUGUCUACUAGUUGUCGGGUCUUAAUUGACUUGGUAACGCAGCUAACGCGUGAAGUAGACCGCCUGGGGAGUACGGUCGCAAGAUUA